GCAGAUCCCUGUCCACAAGAGCCAGCACCGGUUAGCUUCAAUUCCAGCUUCAACUUCCAUAAAAAGAGUCUGGUGGCUACAUCCUGCUGCCCCUCUGCAGUCAGGAUAAUACAUGGAAAUCUGUUGUAAAACCGAUCCUCAGAAAAUCGAAUAAAAGCAGCAUCCUUCUCAACCAACAAUAUGAACAAUGCAUCACUCUGCACAUCAUUCUACAUCCAGAGAUUCCUGGCCAAAUGAAAAAAUUGCUAACCCUG
rnacentral:lncRNA from 1 species